AAUGUGCCCACGGGGCAGCGCCACGUCAGAGCUUUUGCACCUGUGCAAGGGAAUUGCCAGAUCCCUCUGCCAUGCCUGGCCUGGAGAAAAAGCAGCCAGACGGAGGGCAGGCAGCGAGGAGGAAGAGGAAGCCGAAUGGAAGAGAGGAAGACGAGCGGGGAGAGGAGAAGGAAGGCAAGAGCAUCCGAAGCAGAAGCCGGAGUAGGAAAGCCAGCAAGAAAAAGCAUACAGUGUUCCCUCACUACUUCACGGUUCACUUUUCGCAGAUUCACUGUUUUGUGGUUUUUCAAUAAACUCUAAAAGACUAUUAUAAAUAAUAAUAAUAAUAAUAAUAAUAAUAAUAAUUAUUAUUAUUAUUAUUUAUAAUAGUCUUUUAGAGUUUAUUGAAAAACCACAAAACAGUGAAUUACAGCUGGACAACAUCAAGCAUGAACAUGUGAAAACUGUGGUCAGUAAAGAAUACACACAAAGGGUCAGAAAAAUUCUCAAAAGCAAGCUCAAUGGAGGCAACACCAUCAAGGCCAUAAACACCCGGGCCAUACCUGUCAUAAGAUAUACUGCUGGCAACUGGACACAGAUGGAACUGGACAAUUUGGACAGAAAAACAAGAAAACUCAUGACCAUUCAUCAUUCCCUGCACCCUCGCAGUGAUGUUGACCGGCUAUAUCUGCCUAGAAGAUCAGGGGGCAGAGGACACUUACAAGUAAAACAAGCAGUCAAAGAAGAAGAACAUGCCCUGGCAGAAUAUGUCAAGCAAAGUGAAGAACCUGCUUUGAUUGAAGUCAAAAAUCAGAAACUCCUCAAAGCACAGCAGACAAAAAACCAGUACAAGAAAACUGCACUACAAACUAGAGCUGACAGCUGGCACAACAAAACACUGCAUGGAAAGUUCCUUGACAAAAUUGAAGGAAAAGCUGAUAAAGAGAAGACCUGGCUGUGGCUCACGAAUGGGACCCUGAAGAAGGAGACAGAAGGCCUGAUCCUUGCAGCCCAGGAGCAAGACAUCAGGACAAAGGCAAUUAAGGCCAAGAUCGAAAAAUCAGCUGAUGACCCAAAGUGCAGACUGUGCAAGGAAACCGACGAAACCAUUGAUCAUAUCCUCAGCUGCUGUAAGAAAAUCGCACAGACAGACUACAAACAGAGGCACAACUAUGUGGCCCAAAUGAUUCAUUGGAACUUAUGCCUCAAGUACCACCUCCCAGCAGCAAAGAACUGGUGGGAUCACAAACCAGCAAAGGUCGUGGAAAAUGAACACGCAAAGAUACUGUGGGACUUCCGAAUCCAGACUGACAAACUUCUGGAACACAACACACCAGACAUCACAGUUGUGGAAAAGAACAAGGUUUGGAUAAUUGAUGUCGCCAUCCCAGGUGACAGUCGCAUUGAUGAAAAACAACAGGAAAAACUCAGCCGCUAUCAGGACCUCAAGAUUGAACUUCAAAGACUCUGGCAGAAACCAGUGCAGUUGGCAGAUCGUAAUUUUGUCAAUGUCUAUUGUUUCCAAAUGCCGGCUGAGAUCUUUUGGCACGGCACCCAAUGUGCCCAUCACCACCGGGACCACCUGCACUGGUUUCUGCCAGAGUCUUUGAAGUUCAAUCUUGAGGUCCUGAGAGCGGCUGAGUUUUUCUUGUUGUUUUUCACCUGGGAUGGCAACAUGUAUAAUCCAAACCUUUUUCUUUUCCACAACUGUGAUGUCUGGUGUGUUGUGUUCCAGAACUUUGUCAGUCUGGAUUCGGAAGUCCCACAGUAUCUUCGUGUGGUCAUUUUCCAAUACUUUUGCAGGUUUGUGAUCCCACCAGUUCUUUGCUACAGGGAGGUGGUACUUGAGGCAUAAGUUCCCAUGAAUCAUUCGGGCCACGUAGUUGUGCCUCUGUUUGUAGUCUGUCUGUGCGAUUUUCUUACAGCAGCUGAGGAUAUGAUCAACGGUUUCGUCGGUUUCCUUGCAGAGUCUGCAUUUUGGGUCAUCAGCUGAUUUUUCGAUCUUGGCCUGAAUUGCCUUUGUCCUGAUGUCUUGCUCCUGGGCUGCAAGGAUCAGGCCUUGUGUCUCCUUCUUCAGGGUCCCAUUCGUGAGCCAGAGCCAGGUCUUCUCCAUCCCAGUGGUCUUUUUUCUUUUCAAAUUCAUAUGUUAUUUGAGUGAUUAUAUUCUUUCUGUUUAUGUGAUUGUUUUAAUCAAUUGUUAUGUUUUUUGUUUUUGUUUAUAAUUCUUAUAGCGUUUUAUAGUGUUUUCAGUGUUUUAUUGUGCAAUGUUUUAUGCUGAUUUUAUAUUGGAAACCGCCCUGAGUCCCUUUCGGGAGAGAGGGCGGUAUAGAAAUAAACUUUUACUUACUUACUUACUUACUUCUCCUUAUCAGCUUUUCCUUCAAUUUUGUCAAGGAACUUUCCAUGCAAUGUUUUGUUGUGCCAGCUGUCAGCUCUAGUUUGUAGUGCGGUUUUCUUGUACUGGUUUUUUGUCUGCUGUGCUUUGAGGAGUUUCUGAUUUCUGACUUCAAUCAAAGCAGGUUCUUCACUUUGCUUUACAUAUUCUGCCAGGGCAUGUUCUUCUUCUUUGACUUAUUAUUAUUAUUAUUAUUAUUAUUAUUAUUAUUAUUAUUAUUAUUAUCAACACAACGACGUUGUAUGGCACAGCAAACAAGAUAGAUAUGCUGGAUUUCGUUUCGCAAAACCACAAGUCGAACACUUCCCAAGUGUCUAGGACUGUGUGAUGUAUUUUCUUAUGAUGUGUGCAGAUCCCAGUCGGGUGGCCUUUUGCAGUUGGCAGAUCGUAAUUUUGUCAAUGUCUAUUGUCUCCAAAUGCCGGCUGAGAUCUUUUGGCAUGGCACCCAGUGUGCCCAUCACCACUGGGACCACCUGCACUGGUUUCUGCCAGAGUCUUUGAAGUUCAAUCUUGAGGUCCUGAUAGCGGCUGAGUUUUUCCUGUUGUUUUUCAUCUAUGCGACUGUCACCUGUGAUGGCAACAUCAAUGAUCCAAACCUUGUUCUUUUCCACAACUGUGAUGUCUGGUGUGUUGUGUUCCAGAACUUUGUCAGUCUGGAUUCGGAAGUUGUUAUUAUUAUUAUUGACACAACGACGUUGUAUGACACAGCAAACAAGAUAGAUAUGCUGGAUUUCGUUUCACAAAAUCACAAGUCGAACACUUCCCAAGUGUCUAGGACUGUGUGAUGUAUUUUCGGAUGAUGCGUGCAGAUCCCAGUAAGGUGGCCUUUUGCAGUUGGCAGAUCGUAAUUUUGUCAAUGUCUAUUGUUUCCAAAUGCCGACUGAGAUCUUUUGGCACAGCACCGAGUGUGCCCAUCACCACUGGGACCACCUGCACUGGUUUCUGCCAGAGUCUUUGAAGUUCAAUCUUGAGGUCCUGAUAGCGGCUGAGUUUUUCCUGUUGUUUUUCGUCAAUGCGACUGUCACCUGGGAUGGCAACAUCAAUGAUCCAAACCUUGUUCUUUUCCACAACUGUGAUGUCUGGUGUGUUGUGUUCCAGAACUUUGUCAGUCUGGAUUCGGAAGUUGUUAUUAUUAUUAUUAUUAUUAUUCUUAUUAUUAUUAUUAUUAUUAUUAUUAUUAUUAUUAUUAUUAUUAACUUGACCUGUCCUU
ensembl:lncRNA